GGGAAAUGGUGAAACUGAUAGAGAAAAGCAGAAUGGCGACCAUAAUUCUGUUAGAGAAGCUACUAGACCUUCAGAAAUCAAUGUGAGCAACUUCCAGCAAGCAGAUGUCUUAGGUGGGAAUGCUAUCAGAAAUGAGCCUCCAGUUGGAGAUGCUACAGCUCAAAUGAAGAGUCCAUUCCCCUCUUGUGCUUCACCAGCCCAUGAGGUUAUACCUUCUUUCUGUGGAAUAAAUUGUUUAAUUGUGCUAUACCCAUCUUAAAGAAGAAUUUGUUCUAGUUCCAGACUUCCAGCUUGGUUGCACAAGAAUACGGAAUCUCCUUUCUCAUUGGUUUGUACAGAUCAUUAUUCUUAUUGCACCUUGCAUCAUUUACUAUAUCAUGGAAUUAGUUUUAACAUUUGACGUGCAACCAUGGGUGAUUUCAGCUAAUAAACAACAAUUUUAGGGCUUGCCACUUCCAUUCAAAAAAUUCAGAUGAGAUGGACCCCCAAGAGAUUCAAUCUUCAUCCUCUUGAAAUUACAUGAGGAAUUUGUGAUGACCAUUAGACUGUAUUGCAAUAAUUCUAUAUACAAAGCAUAUAAGUUAGCAACAUAUCUGGAUUACUUCAAGUUUGGUUAAUGAUAUAGGCAUUUAUGACCAAGCUCUGAUGUAUUCUCUUCUUGGCAAUUUGAGACAUGCAGCAGUCCUCUUCAAUCACAUACUUAAGUUUGCUUCUAGCCUACAAUAACUACACCUCAGUCCCAAACAAGUUGAAUUCGGCUAUGUGAAUCCUCACAUGUCCAUUCAAGCUCAACUCAUGUCAUCAUCAUACCAAAUAAAAAUAGAAGUGAAAAAUAAGUUCAAUACAAACAAAUAAUAGCAACAGUGAUAAUAUUAAAAGUUCUCUAGCAAGACUAAACCUAUAUCAACUAGUAGACAAUCACCUAUAUGGAUUUUUUCUUUGCCCUAUCAUUAUCUAUAUCUUUAUUGAUUCCAAGAAUUUGUAGGUCUUUCGAGACAGCCUCCUUCAAUGUGAUUUUAGAUCUGCACUGUCCCUUUUUAACACCUUCAUACGCCAUAGUUUCACACUACCGGCCUGUGCAUCUGUAGGUCGAUGCAUACCUACAAGAUAUGACCAAACCAUCUCAAGUGACACUCUCUCAUUUUAUCCUCAAUGUGCUACUUGCAUCCUUUGGCAUAGUCAUUUUUAAUCUUAUUUUAUCUUGUAUGACCAGUUGACUGCACAUCCAUCUUUUUUUUUUGAGAAAGGUAACAUUCGUAUGUAUUGACAAAAACCAGACAUGGGUUGUACUGAAAACCAUAAUUACAACUUAUCAACAAAACAGGAUAUCUGAAUCUAAAUUCUAAAUAGGGCCAAGGAUCUCAAUAAUUGACUCAGUAUCCUCUAAGUACAUCUGUUUACACCAGAAACAAAAAAGUUUGAUACAGUUCAAUUUGAUCUUCUGAAGAUCACUACUUUUGCUCUCAAAACAUCUAGCAUUUCUCUCUCUCCAGACUGUCCACCAGAUACAGGCUGGGACAAUCUUCCAUCUAUCUCUGUCUGAAGCUCCCCCACCUGCCUCUUCCCAACUGUAGAGAAGGUGCGUGAUUCUGUUAGGCAUAGUCCAAACAACACCCCUGAGGCUGAUAAAAAUCCUCCAAAGUUGAGUUGUUAUCCUGCACUGUAAAAAUAGAUUGUCAACUGUCUCAACCUCUUCUCCACACAAAUAGCAUCUCGAGCACAUAGAGAACUUCCUCUUCUUGAGAUUUUCUUGUGUCAGGACUGCUUCUCUUGCCAGUAACCAAGUAAAACAUGCCACCUUGAAAGGGGUUUUUGUUUUCCAGAUCUGUUUCCAUGGCCAAUUUGGUGGUUGUUGGCCACCUUUGUUCAAAAACUUGUAUGCUGAGUUCACCUUAUACAUGCCUUUGCUGUCUUUGUUCCACCAUAAUCUAUCAACCUCAUCCUUUGUCCUUUGAACUCUGCCAGAGCUCUGAAAAAUUCUGUCACAGUUUCAAUUUCCCAGUCAUUAAAAUUCCUUCUAAAAUGGAUGUUCCAUCCUUGUUGUGUCCAACUGUCAGCUACACUCAUUUGUUGAUGUACUGCCAAAACAUACAGUUCAGGGAAAAGAUUUUUUAAACUAGCAUGUCCCAGCCAUUUGUCCUCCCAGAAUGAGGUCUUACUUCCAUUGCCUACCCUCACAGUUGUGUUAUUUCUCAAAAAAGGCCAAAGGAUUCUGAUAGACCUCCAUAGACUUGCACCAUAGGGUGUAGAUACCUCAUUUGUCAUCCAUUUGUUCUCAUCUCCAUAUUUAGCUUUAAUUACUUUGCUCUAAUGUGCUUGAGGCUCUUGUGAGGAUUUCCAUUCUGUUAUUGAUGGAAAACGCCUUCGUGGAUUACUAUUUUCCACCAAACCAAGACCUGAACAGACUCCCUGUAAUGAUUCUAUCAGGUGCAUGAUGAUCUGAUUUUCUAAUUUUGAUAGAUAAGUGUAGCAGAAUUUCAGUAUUUAUCAAAAUUUUGGUUCACAAUAGCCUUUUGGAUUAUGUUAAUGUAAAUUCAAAAUCAGGAAUACGGGAAAUGGUGAAACUGAUAGAGAAAAGCAGAAUGGCGACCAUAAUUCUGUUAGAGAAGCUACUAGACCUUCAGAAAUCAAUGUGAGCAACUUCCAGCAAGCAGAUGUCUUAGGUGGGAAUGCUAUCAGAAAUGAGCCUCCAGUUGGAGAUGCUACAGCUCAAAUGAAGAGUCCAUUCCCCUCUUGUGCUUCACCAGCCC
rnacentral:lncRNA from 1 species